rnacentral:rRNA from 1 species
GCGAAAUUCCUUGUCGGGUAAGUUCCGACCUGCACGAAUGGCAUAAUGAUGGCCACACUGUCUCCUCCCGAGACUCAGUGAAGUUGAAAUGUUUGUGAUGAUGCAAUCUCCCCGCGGCUAGACGGAAAGACCCCAUGAACCUUUACUGUAGCUUUGCAUUGGACUUUGAACCGAUUUGUGUAGGAUAGGCGGGAGGCAGAGAAAGCGCAACGCCAGUUGUGCCGGAGCCGACGUUGAAAUACCGCCCUGAUUUGUUUGAGGUUCUAACCGCGACCCGUGAGCCGGGUUCGGGACCGUGCAUGGCAGGCAGUUUGACUGGGGCGGUCUCCUCCUAAAGGGUAACGGAGGAGUACAAAGGUACGCUAGGUACGGUCGGAAAUCGUGCUGAUAGUGCAAAGGCAAAAGCGUGCUUGACUGCGAGACCGACAAGUCGAGCAGAUGCGAAAGCAGGUCUUAGUGAUCCGGUGGCUCUGAAUGGAAGGGCCAUCGCUCAACGGAUAAAAGGUACUCUGGGGAUAACAGGCUGAUACCGCCCAAGAGUUCAUAUCGACGGCGGUGUUUGGCACCUCGAUGUCGGCUCAUCUCAUCCUGGGGCUGUAGCCGGUCCCAAGGGUAUGGCUGUUCGCCAUUUAAAGAGGUACGUGAGCUGGGUUUAAAACGUCGUGAGACAGUUUGGUCCCUAUCUGCCGUGGGCGCUGGAAGAUUGACGGGGGCUGCUCCUAGUACGAGAGGACCGGAGUGGACGCACCUCUGGUGUACCGGUUGUCACGCCAGUGGCAUCGCCGGGUAGCUAUGUGCGGAAGAGAUAACCGCUGAAAGCAUCUAAGCGGGAAACUUGCCUGAAGAUAAGUCUUCCCGGAGGCUAGACCUCCCUGAAGAGUCGUUCGAGACCAGGACGUUGAUAGGUCGGGUGUGUAAGCGUUGUGAGACGUUUAGCUAACCGAUACUAAUUGCUCGUGAGGCUUGAUCCU